rnacentral:lncRNA from 1 species
UUGCACCGUAGAAAUACUUGCAGAUCUGCCAGGAACAUGAACGACAGGCAUUUUCCACAAAAGUUUCUCUCCAUCAGUCAAGCCAGGGACUGUUUUCUAAAGGCACGACAAAAGCAGUGAAUUCCCUCGUUAUAAAUCUCCUUGCAGGGAGCCAGCUUUGCAGUUGAGUGCCAACUUCCUCUGCCCAAGUUUCCUCUGUCCACACCGCAUGGGUUUGGCCUGGAAGUCUCAUGGAGUGUAUUGCCUGAGGUGGACUUCAAGGGAGGAUUUAACAUCACCGUGUUUCUGUCUGGGGACCAUUCCACAGAAUUUUAACCAGAUUAUAAAAAGCAGUGUCUUUAAUCUGAGAGGCCAUCAUUUUCAGGAUGACAAGAUAUGACAAAAUAGAAUAAAACUGAUCUGUGAGUUCAAUGAAGAAGACUGAGAAGACCAACUUCCUUUGCAGCUUUGUGUGUCACUGGAUACAGAAGAAGUGUACAAGGCAAUAUCUGGGUUGUGCCUCCAAAGGGAAUUGUGUACCCUCUCCUUUCCAAUUCCUUCUUGUUGGACAAGAUGGUAGACAUUGUGAGUUGGAAGACAUGCACUGAAGCCUGGACUCUUGACAACUUUGAGGAGAAAAGCUACAAUAUCAGCUUGGAGUUUUAUGGAAAAGAAAUCAAUUUUGAGCUGCCUAAUUUACUUUUAGCACUCUGUGUCACAACAUCUAAGUCUAUCUAAGAUGUCAGGAGUUCCUUGGCUUUUGGUAUAUUGUAGUGUUUACCUUACCUUCCUUAUAAAGACCUUUCUUUUUUCUUUUGCUUACAUAGACCCUUUCAUUCUUCUAAUAUGAGCUGCUCUCCAGUCAGCCAAAGACACCCCUGUCUUCAAUUGUCCUCAUUGAGUAUUCGUUUUUCCAAUUUUACAUAUAACCCCCAUUCCCAGAGCCCUACUUCUUUUGGUCUCUGACUGAAGCAGAGCCAUGUGUAUUGAGAUGAAGAUAAGCAGGAGAUUCAGCUAAUGUCUAGGGAAGAUGGUGAGCAAGACAAGGGACUGGGUAAAAGCCAAAUGUCAGAUGAAGCAGCCAAACAAAUAUCUGUUUGCAGGGAAAAGGUAGGGAUCAGGAAGAAAUGGGGUUUAUAUAAAACUGAGUUUAAAAUUCAGGCAGAUAAAUAGGAACAGAGACCAAGGAGAAUUUGGAAGUUAAAAUGCAGCAGUGAAAGUCAGAUAUGCAAUGGGGAGACAAAAAAUUGCCUCAGGUAGGAAGCGCUUCAGAGCUUACCUGUUGUAGCAGGAACUCAUAGCUGACUCAGGCUGAAAUCCAAGAACCCAGCCAUGUAGCAAUGACAGGUCCUGAACUAGCCUCCCAGAAUUU